rnacentral:misc_RNA from 1 species
AGAAACAGGAGGUGUGGUCUAGUAAAAAAUAAUAAACAAUGGCGGCUGGUGGAGGAUCAGUAGUGAGCCCCAAGCCUCCAGAGGAGACUGAUAAUGUGAGGGUUGCCGUCAGAUCCAGACCACUCAGCCAGUCAGAGAGAAACAACAAUCACCAGUCGAUAGUAACCGUGGAUCAAACCAGAGGAGAAAUAACCAUUGUCUUGCCUGAUCCUAAGGGAAUGAGAGAACCAAAGAAAACCUUCACAUUUGAUAGCGUCUUUGGAGCAGAUACCACUCAAGCUGAUGUGUAUAAUGAAACUGCUAGACCAAUAGUGGACGCUGUCCUUGAAGGAUAUAAUGGUACAAUAUUUGCAUAUGGUCAGACAGGAACUGGUAAGACGUACACAAUGGCUGGCGAGAACAAUCCUGAGACCAGAGGAAUCAUUCCAAACUCUUUUGCUCACAUAUUCGGAAGAAUACACAAAUGUGAAGGAGAGACGAAAUUCCUGGUGAGAGUCUCUUACCUUGAGAUAUACAACGAGGAAGUCCGUGAUCUUCUCAACAAGAAAUCCAAGGAAGCACUCAAGAUCAGAGAGAGGCCGGAUGUAGGCGUGUAUGUUAAGGAUCUGCUGUCAUUUGUAGUGAAAGACACAGAAGAGAUGGAGAAAUUGAUGAGCAUUGGAAAUAAAAAUAGAGCAUUUGGUGCCACGGAUAUGAAUGAGAGAUCUUCAAGAUCCCACACAAUAUUCAGUAUAACAGUGGAACAGAGUCAGAUGGGACCUGAUAAGAAAGAGCACGUGAGAAUGGGAAAACUUCAUCUCGUUGAUCUAGCAGGUUCAGAGCGUCUCUCAAAGACAGGUGCUACUGGUGUCCGUAAAGAUGAAGCGGCCAGUAUCAACCGAUCCCUCACUAACCUCGGUAUUGUGAUAUCGGCUCUGGUUGAUGAUAAAAGCACUCACAUACCAUACAGGAACAGUAAACUGACCAGGCUCCUUCAAGACUCACUGGGGGGCAACUCAAAAACUGUAAUGAUAGCUAACAUUGGGCCUGCUGAUUACAACAGUGAUGAAACCCUCAGUACCCUCCGAUACGCUGACACUGCUAAGAGAAUUAAGAACAAGGCCAGGAUCAACGAGGAUCCAAAGGAUGCCAUGUUGAGAGAGUUCCAGAAAGAAAUUGAGAAAUUGAAGAAGAUGCUGGCUGAGGAAGAGAGAGAGAAAGAGGAGGAGGAGGGAGAGGAGGGGGAGGAGGGUAGUAUCAGAAGAGGAAGUAUAAAGAAUAAGAGAAAGAAGAAACAAGAUGAGUUAUCGACUUCAAUGUCUCCGAGAGAAAUGGCUGAACUGAAGAAACAAAUUGAAGAAGAAAGAAAGAAACUUCUCACUGGGAAAGACGUCGCUAAGGAAGAAAAGGAAAAGAUGGAACAAGAACUAGAAAAGAAAGAAGAGGAACUGGCCAAAGCCCAAGAGGAACAGGCUGAGCUUCAAAAGAGAUUGUCUGAUUUAGAAUCAAAAGUUAUAGUGGGAGGUGUCAAUUUGCUUGAACAGACUGAGAAACAAGAGAAACUGUUGGAAAAGUCGAGAAAAGAUUUAGAGAAAAGGAAGAAGAAAGAAUCCAUCUUAAAAGAACAACUUAAGCAGAAAGAGGUUGAGAGACAGGAUUAUCAGGUCAAGAUAGCAAACCUGCAAGAGACAAGGGACGUCAUAACACACGAAUUAAAGGACACUUGGAAGCAACUGCAAUCAAUGAAAGAUGAAUUGAUAGCAGUCCAGGAGGAGUAUCAAAGAGAGAAGGAGUAUCUUUUGCAAGAUAUUAGGGACCUUGAUAAACAAGUGGAGCUACAGGCACUGAUAAUGAAUUACUUCAUACCGCAAGAGUUCCAGGAUCUCAUUGAACAGCAUGUACAAUGGGAUGAGGAGGAACAAGAAUGGCACCUGGAUGGUAUAGCAUAUGCUGGUAAUAGCAUACAAAGAGAGCCAGCCCCUGUUCCUCAGCGUCCACCGGUCCAGUAUGACACAUUAUCAUGUUAUUUAUCAUACAAUACAGAGAGGGACUUCAUGUUCAUGACACCUGAUGGACUUAUAGCUGCUCCAACUGUAAAGAGCACCAGAUCAAAGAUUGGAAAGAAUAAGUCUGUCACACCUUCUUCUUCAAGCAAAUCAAAGUACAGUAUUCAUUAUUAGCGAACCUACUUUGAUGUUUUGAGGAAAUAGCAUGUAUAAGAGAGCUCAAAAGUAACUGGAACAAAUCAUCAGACACAAGUGUUGUAUCAAGUGAGAGUCAGUAUCCAACUUCAAGAGGACUCAUAUCAAGACAAAAACACUUUGCAUG